CAGUGCCAUGGACCAUGAAAAAUACAUGGGAAAUGCCCAUGCGAUCCAUGCCCUCCUCUGUGCAUCGUUCGAUCCAUGGUGGAUCGGGCAAUUGGGCUCCCAGUGUGGUGCGCUGGGCCUGGGCCUGGGCUGGCCCGCGUGCUCAUGCACCCGGGCCUGGGCCAUGCCCCGCAUGCCCGAGCCUUGGUCGGCCCGUGCGCUUGGGCCUGGGCCAGGCACUGCGCACUGGGCCGCACCUAAUCGUGCCUAGGCCACGCCCCACUGCGCUCGACCGCACCACCGCCACU
rnacentral:lncRNA from 1 species